GCGGCGUGGAUAAGACAUGCAAGUCGAACGAGAGAAUUGCUAGCUUGCUAAUAAUUCUCUAGUGGCGCACGGGUGAGUAACACGUGAGUAACCUGCCCCCGAGAGCGGGAUAGCCCUGGGAAACUGGGAUUAAUACCGCAUAGUAUCGAAAGAUUAAAGCAGCAAUGCGCUUGGGGAUGGGCUCGCGGCCUAUUAGUUAGUUGGUGAGGUAACGGCUCACCAAGGCGAUGACGGGUAGCCGGUCUGAGAGGAUGUCCGGCCACACUGGAACUGAGACACGGUCCAGACACCUACGGGUGGCAGCAGUCGAGAAUCAUUCACAAUGGGGGAAACCCUGAUGGUGCGACGCCGCGUGGGGGAAUGAAGGUCUUCGGAUUGUAAACCCCUGUCAUGUGGGAGCAAAUUAAAAAGAUAGUACCACAAGAGGAAGAGACGGCUAACUCUGUGCCAGCAGCCGCGGUAAUACAGAGGUCUCAAGCGUUGUUCGGAAUCACUGGGCGUAAAGCGUGCGUAGGCUGUUUCGUAAGUCGUGUGUGAAAGGCGCGGGCUCAACCCGCGGACGGCACAUGAUACUGCGAGACUAGAGUAAUGGAGGGGGAACCGGAAUUCUCGGUGUAGCAGUGAAAUGCGUAGAUAUCGAGAGGAACACUCGUGGCGAAGGCGGGUUCCUGGACAUUAACUGACGCUGAGGCACGAAGGCCAGGGGAGCGAAAGGGAUUAGAUACCCCUGUAGUCCUGGCAGUAAACGGUGCACGCUUGGUGUGCGGGGAAUCGACCCCCUGCGUGCCGGAGCUAACGCGUUAAGCGUGCCGCCUGGGGAGUACGGUCGCAAGAUUAAAACUCAAAGAAAUUGACGGGGACCCGCACAAGCGGUGGAGUAUGUGGCUUAAUUCGAUGCAACGCGAAGAACCUUACCUGGGCUUGACAUGUAAUGAACAACAUGUGAAAGCAUGCGACUCUUCGGAGGCGUUACACAGGUGCUGCAUGGCCGUCGUCAGCUCGUGUCGUGAGAUGUUUGGUUAAGUCCAGCAACGAGCGCAACCCCUGUUGCCAGUUACCAGCACGUGAAGGUGGGGACUCUGGCGAGACUGCCCAGAUCAACUGGGAGGAAGGUGGGGACGACGUCAGGUCAGUAUGGCCCUUAUGCCCAGGGCUGCACACGUACUACAAUGCCCAGUACAGAGGGGGCCGAAGCCGCGAGGCGGAGGAAAUCCUGAAAACUGGGCCCAGUUCGGACUGUAGGCUGCAACCCGCCUACACGAAGCCGGAAUCGCUAGUAAUGGCGCAUCAGCUACGGCGCCGUGAAUACGUUCCCGGGUCUUGUACACACCGCCCGUCACAUCAUGGAAGCCGGUCGCACCCGAAGUAUCUGAAGCCAACCGCAAGGAGGCAGGGUCCUAAGGUGAGACUGGUAACUGGGAUGAAA
rnacentral:rRNA from 1 species